rnacentral:rRNA from 1 species
ACUCCUACGGGAGGCAGCAGUGGGGAAUAUCGCACAAUGGGCGCAAGCCUGAUGCAGCCAUGCCGCGUGUAUGAAGAAGGCCUUCGGGUUGUAAAGUACUUUCAGCGGGGAGGAAGGCGAUAAGGUUAAUAACCUUGUCGAUUGACGUUACCCGCAGAAGAAGCACCGGCUAACUCCGUGCCAGCAGCCGCGGUAAUACGGAGGGUGCAAGCGUUAAUCGGAAUUACUGGGCGUAAAGCGCACGCAGGCGGUCUGUCAAGUCGGAUGUGAAAUCCCCGGGCUCAACCUGGGAACUGCAUUCGAAACUGGCAGGCUAGAGUCUUGUAGAGGGGGGUAGAAUUCCAGGUGUAGCGGUGAAAUGCGUAGAGAUCUGGAGGAAUACCGGUGGCGAAGGCGGCCCCCUGGACAAAGACUGACGCUCAGGUGCGAAAGCGUGGGGAGCAAACAGGAUUAGAAACCCCAGUAGUCCCA